rnacentral:ncRNA from 1 species
AAAGCGGAACCCGAAAAGCAUAAAGAGUAGGGA